CACCGCUGCCGGCGGCGCGCGCCCCGAGUGCGCGAGGUGUGCGCGUGAAGGGGGCGCGCCGGGUGCUGAGUGCGCGGGGCGUACCGGGCGCGGGAUGCUCGGAGCGCGUGGGGUGCAUGGCGGGUAUGGUGCACAGGGUGCUCAGGACCAGAGUCUGCAGUGUGGAGUCUUCAUCCUGCAGAUAUCCAAUACAAUCUACUGGUGGAUGGCAAGCUGGACAUAAGCCAGCAAUGUACUCUCACAGCCCAUAAAGACAACCGUAUCCUGGACUGUGUCAAAAGAAACGUGGCCAGCAGGACGAGGGAGGUGAUCCUGCCCUCUACUCUGCACUUGUGAUGCCUCACGUGGAGUACUGUGUCCAGAUGUGGAGUCCUCAGUACAGGAGAGACAUGGACCUGUUGGAGCACAUCCAGAGGAGGGCCACAAAAAUGAUCCAAGGGAUGGAACACCUCUCCUAUGAAGGCAGGCUGAGAGAGCUGGGGCUGUUCAACCCAGAUGUGGUUGGUCCCCCAUCCCUGGAGACAGUCGAGGUCAGGCUGGCCGUGACUGAGCAACCUCCUCUAGCUGUAGGUGCCCCUGUUCAUUGCAGAGGAGCUGGACUAGAUGACUUUUAAAGGUCCCUUCCAACCCAAACAAUUCUGUGAUUCUAUUCUAUGAAUAAGGAAGUCAUUUUAAAAAGAGUAACUACCUCUGAAGUGGUUGACCACAGCAUUGCACAGCGUGUGCUACUUGCUUUCCAAUAGUUUGCUUUUUCCUCCAGCAUCCAAACCACGAGCCUGACUGUGGCCUCUGCAGUGUUGUGCUGCAUGGUUAAAACAUGAAGACAUGAGCCUUCAUAACUGUAAUGCUGCAAAACCACAGUGCCUGUGUUGAUGACACCACCACCCCUAAAAUCUCCGCUGAGUCAAAUCUAAAAAAAUAAAUGAUUUGCAAACUCCUGCAAAGGCCAUCUAAAAAUAUACCACCAGGAGUGAGUAAGUGUGAACCCUUUGUGUCCCCUGGAAUGGAUUCAUCCCUCUACCCCUCUCAUACUCCUCCAGCUCAGCUCAGGACUUCCCUUUUCCCAGCAACUGGGAAGUGUCAUCAGUACCAAUGUGCCAUGGAUCAGCAUAGAUAAAUACGGCCCUCGGCUGCCACAUUUGUGUCAAAGCCACCUUUUUGGCAACUUUAUCUGUGAAAACUUCAAAGUGUCAAGAUAAGCAUGUAUGAGGGCUGCUCCACAAGUAAUGCAUCUUAUGAUGUUGUUGGCCCAUGAUGUCAGAGGAGGGUGUUGGUGGGAUGGCAGUGGAGGAUGAACCUUCCUGCCUAUAUCCCAUCAUAUUUUGUUGCCGUGUGGCAGAUGGCAGCAGAGGGGCAGUCUGACAAAAUGGUGUCUAACAUAGAAGUGCAUUUGAAGCAAAGGUGUGGAACUGCAAAUUCCUCUAUGCAGAAAAACUUGUACCCACCAACAUUCAUUGGUGCUUGCUUAACGUUUAUGGAGACCAAAUGGUGGAUGUAAGCGCAGUGAGGUGGUGGGUGGUGUGCUUCAGUAAUGGCAACAGUGACACCGGUGCAGAUUGUUACAAGCAUGACAUGCAGGCUCUUGUUUAUCGCUGAAGAAAAUUGAUAGCUAAUGAUUGAUAGCUAUUUUUCACUCUCUCAAAAAAUAGUGCUUUGUAGCUGAGGAUUUUCUCCAUCAAAUCAUGUCAUUGUUCUCUUUGUAGCUUUUGUAGUUUCUGUGGAAAUAAACAGGAGGCAUUACUUUUGGUGCAACCUGCUGAACAGGACCUGAUGAAAAGGAGAUGGCAUGAGGGAGGAGAUGGGUAAUUAGUCCUAGGGAAGGAGCUGGCUCUUGUCAAACAUCAGAUAGCUGGGGCUCAUCACUACAAACUUAACCGCCCAGAAAGGGCAAAGAAAAAGCAGCCUCUCUCCUUCCUCUUUGUGCACAACCUGGGACUGCAGCACCUGAUUUCCAUGAGAAGAGGCCAUUUCUGGCAUGGACAUUCCCAGCAACUGGAGUCCCCUCAGUGCUGUCCUGAAAGAGGAGGGGAGGAAAGAACUCGCCAUUCCAAAAGGCCCAGAGCUGCCAGAAAGGUCCAAGGAAGGCUGAUUGUGCACUAAGGGAAUGAAGGGAAAGAGGAUCCCUGCUCCUUGCUGGGAUAAAACCAAACACCAUCCAAAAUUGGUGGGGGAAGGACUGUGGAGAGUUUUGAUGCAUUGACACAGACAUCAAGUUGCUGAUGAGGACACUGCAGUAUGGGGCUGAUUUUGGAUGCUUGAGUGACAUAACAUCCAUAAGUACUGCUGGUCUCAAAUCAGUCUCAUGUGGGGUUUUUAUGAGCACUUUUCAUUCAUAGAUCUCAGAGGGCUUCACAGAGGAGAGAGCUAUAAACAAGACAGAGGGGAGUGAGGGAUAGGCUGGGGCUUUUAAAAGGCAGUGUGUUGUUUCUUUAAGGGGUUCUGUAGAUAAGAGCUCUGUAUGAAGUCUCAUUUUACCAAAAAUAAAAUAUUUUGCAAUGGCAUGCUGUGCCAAAUGACUCCUGCGUUGAUAUUUACAUUGUUAAGGGAAAAUUUAGUCGUGCUGCGUGCAAAGUGUCGGUAGUGAGGCUUUUGGAAAAUACAAAAAGCAGAAUGUUUAAUGUUCGAUUUUAACAUAGUGCAUGCAUGUUUUAGGCACUUUUGAGAUUGAACAGAUCAAAGUCUUUCCCUCCUAAAUGCCAAAACCCAGCGAUAUUUGUGUAACCAUGUAAUUUGGCCUGUCUUACAUGUUCUUAAGGGGGUUAUUAUAGCCAGCUUUCAAAUUGAGUUGGCUGGAACAGUUGAUGCUCCCCUCCUUGGUUUUCAAAGCCUAUGCAGAGCUCAUACUGUGUGACUGACACUGCUGUUCAGAUGGAAGCAUUUGAGUUUGAUCACCUGGUGCAGAGAGAAGGGGCAUCACCCCAGUCCUUCCUCUGCCGUUCC
rnacentral:lncRNA from 1 species